GGGCCCGCACAAGCGGUGGAGUAUGUGGUUUAAUUCGAUGCAACGCGAAGAACCUUACCAGGGUUUGACAUCCUGCGAAUCUCUUGGAAACAGGAGAGUGCCUUCGGGAACGCAGUGACAGGUGGUGCAUGGCUGUCGUCAGCUCGUGUCGUGAGAUGUUGGGUUAAGUCCCGCAACGAGCGCAACCCACGUCUUUAGUUGCCAGCAUUUAGUUGGGCACUCUAGAAAGACCGCCGGUGAUAAACCGGAGGAAGGUGUGGAUGACGUCAAGUCAUCAUGCCCCCUUACACCCUGGGCUACACACGUACUACAAUGCUACGGACAAAGGGCAGCAAACUCGCGAGAGCUAGCAAAUCCCAUAAACCGUGGCUCAGUUCAGAUCGUAGGCUGCAACUCGCCUACGUGAAGUAGGAAUCGCUAGUAAUCGCAGGUC
rnacentral:rRNA from 1 species